rnacentral:lncRNA from 1 species
UUCAAGCAUGUCAUCGAACACUUUCCAGGCAUGAAACAAAUUAUGAUCUAGAUUAUGAUUUUCCAACCUUAACCUAGCAUUAAGCACACCAAUCAAGAUCAUAUAGAUUAUGCACAUAUCUUCAUAAAUCAAGCACUAAUCACUCUAUUCUACUAAACCCAAGAACUCUAAAAGUUUUACUCACUAAUCUCCAUGAAACCACACAAACCCAUGAUAGAGUAUUGGAUAAACAAGAGAUAAAAGAUAGAUAAACAAGAUUAAUAAAAUAAAUCUUUAAACCAAGCAAGAUUCACAAGAGAUUAAGUCUAAAAACAAGAGAAAUAACAAAACUAAGGCUUAGGUAGCUUAAGAUUUUCAUCCCUUAAAUACCUAUUUAUAGACUUUAAAAACGAACCGGGUCGGCCCAACAACCUUAGAUCGACCCAAAAUAAAUUGGGUAAAAGCUGUCAUAUACAAAAAUUUACAGAUUGUUUCUAAGUGUUGCAGCUGCUUGCCCUGGUUGUUAGGACACUUGCCAAAUUUCAUCUUCGCUGGUGUUUCGUUGCGACAUGCUGUGGUCGCUACAGUGGUCGCUACAAACUCAUGGCCUUCUUCGUAGCGACAUGUUGUCGUUAGGAUACUUAGCACAUAAAAAUUGUCUACACCUCCUUUCACCAUAUUGACUUCAAAGUACUCUAAUCACCUCCAAAUCCACCAAAUAGCUUCUCCAACGUCUAUUAUAUGCAAAUGAACACAGAAAUGCAAUAUAUACACCUAAAUGCAACCUAAAAUGAACUAAAUGAACCAAUAUAUGAUGCGGAGAAACAUGAAAAUAGCAAGAAAUCAAUUAAGUCUCUUGAACACUCAUACGCAAAUUCAGGAUAAAAAAAUUUGUUUGUAAGUUCAUUUUUUGUAUUCUUUUAUUUCAUCUCUGCAUCUUUCGGAUUACUUGCUACUCCCAAUUAAGUUUUGCAUUUUUUAUUACAAUUUUUUAACAUUGCAAAUUUAUGUUGUCACAUGAAUCAUGAACUAUGUGAUCAAUCAAAUUCAGUCACUAAAUUCUAUCAAACCACAAUCAACAAUCUAUGUAUUCCUAGAAACCAUGCGCCUAACUAUAGAUUUACUCAAACAUAAAUAAAGAAACACAUAUCAAAUGUGAAGAAUGCAUAAUUGUAUUAAAAUCAAAACAUAAGUUCAGAAAACUUCUUCAAAGAUAGAGUACAAAUUCGUCUCUUCAUAACUUUAUCACUUCUAAAUCUGAAGAAAAAUAAAAUUUAGGCUAAAAAUUGUUCAACAAUAGUAUAUUUUAGUCAAAAUAACGUCAUAGUCGAGUUUUAGGCAAAACCGAAUAAAAAAUAAGGAAAAAAAAAUUAUUUCGUAUUAAAUCAGCAUAUAGAUAAGUUUUGAAUAGAACACACAUAAUUUUUUAAUCCAAAUGUUGGAUCUACCUCAAACUACUUUUGUUGAAAGGUUAACUUAAUUUUAUAUUGUAUCAAAAAUGAGUUCAAUAUAUCUUUAAAAUCAUUCUGUCUAUUACUAAAUGUCUGACACAUCUGCAAAUUCUGCAUUUUAUUUUCUCAUCUGCUGUUAGUUUGACUUAUUUUUGUUCCAAAUCUAUCUAAAUGCAGUACUGUCUAAAUGUAUAUAAGAAAAACUCGCUAUAAGCUAAAAAUCUAAAAGGCAUGAAAACUCAAAACAUUGGUUAGAAAUCGGUAAAACACAAUUUAUCACCAAAACAAAUCAUAUAGUCUAAUUUCAGGGGAAAUGCACCAAGAAUCUAUAUUGUUAGCAAAUAUUGUACGGUUUUAUUGCUUUCAAAACAAUUGUUUAGUCUUUUUUUUAAACAUUGAAAAUUGCUUGGUCGAUAAUACAUCCACAAAAUAUAUAUGCACAUAUC